GACGAACGCUGGCGGCGUGCUUAACACAUGCAAGUCGAACGGAAAGGCCCUGCUUUUGUGGGGUGCUCGAGUGGCGAACGGGUGAGUAACACGUGAGUCACCUUCCCUUUACUUUGGGAUAACUUCAGGCAACUGGGGCUAAUACCGGAUAGGAGCUCCUGCUGCAUGGUGGGGGUUGGACAGUUUCGGCGGUUGGGGAUGGACUCGCGGCUUAUCAGCUUGUUGGUGGGGUAGUGGCUUACCAAGGCUUUGACGGGUAGCCGGCCUGAGAGGGUGACCGGCCACAUUGGGACUGAGAUACGGCCCAGACUCCUACGGGAGGCAGCGGUGGGGAAUAUGGCACAAUGGGCGGAAGCCUGAUGCAGCAACGCCGCGUGCGGGAUGAAGGCCUUCGGGUUGUAAACCGCUUUCGCCUGCGACGAAGCGGGAGUGACGGUAAUGGGUAAAGAAGCACCGGCUAACUACGUG
rnacentral:rRNA from 1 species